CGCUGGCGGCGUGCCUAACACAUGCAAGUCGAGCGGAGUUAACAAGAGGAAGUUUCGGAUGGAAUUUGUAAUUAGCGGCGGACGGGUGAGUAACGCGUGAGCGACCAACCUUGCACAGGGGGAUAACGGACCGAAAGGUUCACUAAUACCGCAUGAGACCACGGUGUUGCAUGACACAGAGGUCAAAGGAGCAAUCCGGUGCAAGACGGGCUCGCGUCCGAUUAGGUAGUUGGUGGGGUAAUGGCCCACCAAGCCUAUGAUCGGUAGCCGACCUGAGAGGGUGAUCGGCCACAUUGGAACUGAGAUACGGUCCAAACUCCUACGGGAGGCAGCAGUGGGGAAUAUUGGGCAAAUGGGGGAAACCCUGACCCAGCAACGCCGCGUGAAGGAAGAAGGUUUUCGGAUUGUAAACUUCUGUCCUUGGUGAAGAGAAGAAGACGGUAGCCAAGGAGGAAGCCCCGGCUAACUACGUGCCAGCAGCCGC
rnacentral:rRNA from 1 species